GCCCCGGGGAGGGUUUUGCUUUGGGUUGCCUGUCCAGAGAUUCUGGACCUGCAUGGAGCUGUCUUUAUGAGACCGGAUGGGCUGGCAGGAGCAGUAGAGCUGAUUGCGGGACUGGACCUGACAGCAACUGAGCUGGGGCAGCUGACUGCAGUGAACCAGGGCCUGGCAGCAGCAGGCCUGACCAGGAGCUGACGGUGUGAACUUCAGUCGGCUGCAGUGAACAGCCUGAGAAGAGCCACCUCCUGAUGCCUACUUAACCACCCCACGUCUAAUUGGAUUUGUGACUGAGGCGCAGCUUUGCAUGUCUCCUCUGCUGUUUUGUGCAGAGAUCUGUCCUCCAGACUGACGGAGACCUGCUUCUCACAUUUGCACCAAAGAUGUGAUUUAGAAAGUUGUAUUCCCUCAGAGGUUUGGAGGCGGUCAGUGUAUCAUCUUGAAAAGUCUGUCUUGUUUUUAUAAACAAAGGAAAGAUGUGUGAAGAGAGGAUUCCAGUUGACAAUGACUCCGUUUCUCUUGCAGAACGUAAUGGGAGUUGAGUUGAAAGGGACAUUAUUGCACGUUCAAUGAGUAUAUUGUGGCAUUGUGGGGUUUUUUUGGGGGGGGACAAUUAUUUCCCUCUGGGUGACUGUGAAAAGGUUUGGUGA